CCACUAUCGAAUUUGAGGUUGAUCGAAUAUGAAAACCAUUUGAUGCACCAAUUGAGUUUCUCUAUAUCGCAGCAAGGCAUCCUUUUUUUUUUUCUAUUAUAGCUGUACUGUGGUUCUAGUUUUGUAGAGUAUAUUAUCUUAACGUGAAUACACUGGAACGAACAUCCAUGGCAUCAACGGCGAGUAAAAGUAUGAAUGUGCCACCAUUAAGACAUGAACCUACACCUAUAGAAUUGCAGUACUUAAUCUAGAAUACACAUGAUAGUUUUUCUAUUUCAACAUAAUUAACCUUCUGAGCUAACAUGUGAAUAUCUUUCUUUAUGAGCACUUCCUAGAGUAUAAUUGAAGUAUUAUUGAUCCAUUAAUAGCCCUGAUCUAUAAUUUCGUGCAGAUGGUACUUACUGGAGAUGGUCUGAUUGCUCGCCGGAGCCGGCUGGUGUCCGCUGGAAGAAGACAAUGCCGAAGUGCCACUGGUUGGAGGAUGUUGACUUCGAAGUGUCAUUCGCCGGAGAAAGAUGAUGUACAAGGUGUAACCUACAAUCUAGAGGACAAUUAAACCUUGAGGUGGGAGUGCUCUGUUUGGGCAGAUCGAAUCUCUGUACAUUAUUGUGAGAGUUCGGAGAGAUUGCAUCUCCAAACUUUGUUUUUGCGCCAGUUUUUUUAUUGUGGGAUGGUUUGAUGGCUCAUGGGAUGGUCGAACCUAUUGGGAUCAUGAGAUUUAUGUUGUGGGAUGCUCUAAUCGCCCAACCUAUUGGGGUCGUGAGAUUGUAAUUGUGGGUUGUUUUUUUUAACUGAUGGUGGGAUGUUUUUUUUUUGGAUUGAUCGUCGGAUGGUUUGAUAGCUCAAACCUGUUGGGAUCGUAACUGAUCGUGGGAUGUUUUUAUUUUUAUUUUUGACUGAUCGUGGGAUGGUUUGGUAGCUCGAACCUGUUGGGAUCGUGAUAUUUAAGGCUGGUCAUAGUGGGG
rnacentral:lncRNA from 1 species